GUGUUGUAUGAAAGGAGAUAAAGUUUGCACUCCCCUUGACAAGGAUGGAAGAGGCUCUCCAGCCUGCACAACACGCAUAUGGUUAAGGCAUUGCCAUCUACUUCGUGGCAUCUAACCAUCGUUUUUA
rnacentral:ncRNA from 1 species